UACGUAGGGGGCGAGCGUUAUCCGGAUUUACUGGGCGUAAAGCGCGUUAAGGCGGUUGGCAAAGUUGGCUGUGAAAUCUCAGGGCUCAACCCUGAAAUUGCGACCAAUACUGGUCGACUAGAGUGUGAGAGAGGAAGGUGGAAUUCCCGGUGUAGUAGUGAAAUGCGUAGAUAUCGGGAGGAACACCAGUGGCGAAGGCGGCCUUCUGGCUCAUAACUGACGCUGUAGCGCGAAAGCGUGGGGAGCGAACCGG
rnacentral:rRNA from 1 species